rnacentral:misc_RNA from 1 species
AAUUAACUAGAUUCAAAAUCCUUAUUUCCUACAAGGAACACAGAUGAGAAGACUACAGUUUUUUUUUCCCUUGUCAAAAGAUGAUUGAGAAGACUACAGUAAGUGGAAAGAAAUUUUAAAGUCAUCAAUAAGUCCAAGGGAAAAAGGAUUUCAAUACUUUGCCAUGUUGGAUGGGAUAUUGCAAAUGUCUUUCCUAAACCAUUGUAUAUAGAGUUUUCCAAAAUGAAAAUCACAAAGAAUACAAACACUUUGCACAGCCAAUUCAAAAUGCUAAGAAUUCUAAAUGAGUCAGAAGCAUUUCAUAAACGAUACAGAAUUGAAAUUUAUGGAAGUAUUAAGGCACUAUUAUGCUGAUGCUAUAAAAAGUUGACGACCUUAGGAUGAACUGCAAUGGCUA